UGACUUGCCAAGGGAAAUCUCACAUGGAAGAGAGGGACAAGUGAAUUGCAGUGGGCCUUGUCUUGCUUUAGGUUUGAAUGUUCUCAAGUUAGAAGUCUUCAAGGCUGGGAUGAACCAGAGUCUGGAGUUGUUGAAUUGCCCUGCCUCGAGUUGUCCCAGGGCGAGAUGGCCAGGGUGAGUGGGAUGUGCAAAGAUCCAGGACAGAUUUUGGACUUUGAACCCUAAUUGCCUGCUGAUUUGAAAACCUUCCAAAGGAAAUUCCAUAAUUGGAGAAAAUAUUAAAGACAAAUAAUUUUAGGAUGAAAGAAUAACCAUCUGCGGUGUUAAUCUGCGUCUGUCAAGGGAAUCCAACCCUGAUGUUGCACCGGACCUCAAAUUCUUUCAGCCGACCCUAUUAACACGAGCUACAACUCCCACUAGUAAUUCUUCUAUGCCAGCCCUAGUAAAAGGAACAGGUGGUUCUAUCAAUGCAGCAGUUAAGCAGAAUGCCAUUAAAAUCUUUUCCUGGGACGUCUGGACUUCAUUUCAUCUUCCUUGGUCUUCAAAAAUAACAGUAUCAGGCCCCACUUAGGACGGUUUGGACACUACAAUUCCAAAAGAACAUCAAUAAAUUGGAGGAAAUCCAAAGGAAGGCUACCAAGAU